AGAGGAUUGUAGUCACCAGAUAACCUGUACAGUAGUGCCUGUGAGGGUUGGGUGCAAUCCUCAUAUACCAAGGAAGGUUUGCAAUUGGGAAUUUUCACAUUAGAAACCUGGUUAGCCGGAUAGUUCGCAUAUGAAUAUGGUUUUGAGGAAUUUGAGAAGCCACCAGCACCACGCAAAUAUACAGUACUCCGAUUCAGGCACAAGGGUUCACCAGAGUGUUCUAUAUAGCUAGUAGUUUCAAGCUCAACAAGAGUAGCCUUGCCUUUGUCAUGCAAGCCAGCAAUGGUUACUUUAUUUCGAAUAUUGCCACUUGAAGGAAAAG
rnacentral:misc_RNA from 1 species